GGGAGGCGUGGGGUCUCUGGGGGUCGGGGGGACAGGUAUGACGAUGCUGGUGCCCAUCUCUCUGGGGCAUUCCGCCCCCUUUGGACUUCAUUGUCCCUGCUGUGUCACCAGGGGCCCUGCCACACCCUGCCUCCGAGUGUGUGGGGUCUGUACCUGCUUUGCCCCCACUGGCCGCUUUCUCCAGGACAGCCAUGAACAUCUCCAGUGUCCUCGGAGCAAGGAAGGAAUGCUUCCUGGAGCAGAAGUGGCCACAAUGACGCUAGGUCAGCAGAUGGCCGCAGAGGCCUGGGCAGUGACCGGUCGGAGAACAAAGCCUGAGGUGUUCCCAGGCCGGUUUCCACGGGAGUCUUGGCAGUGACCCGUGCACGGAGGAGACGCGUGCCUUCCUGGCCCCCCAGUUUGGAUUCCUGGUGCCUCUAAGGUCUGCUGAUGGCAGAGCUGCACCCGGGAUAUUGCCACGGUUUCUACAGGACUGAACAAAGGGGGACCAACGCAGAAAUGAAAACUUAAAACAAAACAGCCACUAAGGAAGGCGCAGAGGGACUUCCUUUCGGCCUGCAACAGUAUCUGUGCUGCCCAAGUGAGUAUGGAAUUUUAAAUUUUCAUUCUUAGUCUCUUCCUUCAUCCACUGGUCAUUCAGGAGCAUGUUGUUUAAUUUCCAUGUAUUUGUACAGUUUCAAAUGUUCCUCUUGUUAUUGCUUUCUGGUUUUGUUGCACUGUGGUCAGAUAAGAUACCUGGUAUCAUUUUGAUUUUUAAAACAUUGUAGAGACAUGUUUUGUGUCUUAACAUAUUGUCAAUCCUGGAGAAUCUCCCAUGUGCUGAUGAAAAGAAUGUAUUUUUCAGCUGUUGAGUGAAACGUUCUGUAAAGGUCUGUCAGGUCCAUUUGGUCUACGGUGUAGUUUCAAUCCAAUGUUUCUUUGUUAAUCUUCUAUCUAGAUGAUCUUUUUAAUGCUGAGAGAGGGGUUUUAGAGUCCAACUAUUAUUCUAUUGGGGUCUAUCUCUCCCUUUAGAUCUAUUAAUAAUAAUAUUUGCUUUAUAUACCUGGGUACCCUGGUGUUGGGUGCAUAUAUAUUUUUAAGUGUUAUAUUCCCUUGCCAAAUUAACCCCCUUAUUAUUAUACAGCGUCUUUGUCUCUUUUUAUAGCUUUUGAAGUCUGUUUUGUCUAAUAUAAGUACAGUUAC
rnacentral:lncRNA from 1 species